rnacentral:rRNA from 1 species
UACGAAGGGGGCUAGCGUUGUUCGGAAUUACUGGGCGUAAAGGGCGCGUAGGUGGCUUGGCAAGUUGGAUGUGAAAGCCCAGGGCUCAACCCUGGAAUUGCAUUCAAGACUGCUUUGCUUGAAUUCGGUAGAGGUUGGUGGAAUUCCCAGUGUAGAGGUGAAAUUCGUAGAGAUUGGGAAGAACACCCGUGGCGAAGGCGGCUCUCUGGGACGGUACUGACGCUGAGACGCGAAAGCGUGGGGAGCGAACAGG